AUGACUCUUAAAAAAGAAUAUUGUGUUGAAGCACUAAAGUAUAAUAAAAAUAUGGAGCUUCUUAGAUAUGCUAAGUUAUUGAAGACACUGUUGAAUUAUGGAUAUAGUUAUCCUAAGUUGAUAAAGGAAUUUGUGGUUAAGAAUGAUGGUAUUUCUUUAAGGUUGCUGAAUUUGAGUUACAUACUAAAUGUUGGGAAAUAUGUCCUAGGCAUUGUGAUACACAUCUGUGCACCUGUUAAUGAAACUAAUCUAGUUUUUUAUGGAGAUUUUUUGCCUCAACUUGCUAUUGUUUCUACUGCAAGUUUAUGA